GCGCGCCACCACCGCUCCCGUCGCUGCCGCGCUGCGCUACCACCGCCAUCGGCAUCGCCGUUCCUCGCCGCACCCCGGCCCCUACUCCGUUUCCCCUCCCUGCCCCUGGAACGCCGCCGCCGCGUUCACCAUCUCUCUCCGCCGCCACCGCCGACUCCAGCCGCGUCGCGCCGCCGCUUCGGUCGACGUCGACUCGCGCCGUUGCCUCCCUCAGCUCCGCAAGGACGAGGAGGACCUCGGCCGCCGCCCCUCUUCGCCGGAAAUCCGCCGGAGCUCCUCCUUCCUCGGUCGCCGGUCAAGGGCGACCCCGUCCGCCCUCCGUCCUCGCAAGCCGCCAUUGGGCAAUCGUCGUCGCCGUCCUCUUCCUCCGCGUCGGCCGCCGCUUCCGCGUGUAGAAUCCGUUGUUUCGGAAGUCCGCGGUCGCGAGGAAAAGAGUUCGGAA